rnacentral:rRNA from 1 species
CCUACGGGAGGCAGCAGUGGGGAAUUUUCCGCAAUGGGCGAAAGCCUGACGGAGCAACGCCGCGUGGGUGAUGAAGUCUUUCGGGACGUAAAACCCUUUCAGCAGGGACGAACACAAUGACGGUACCUGCAGAAGAAGCAUCGGCUAACUACGUGCCAGCAGCCGCGGUAAUACGUAGGAUGCGAGCGUUGUCCGGAUUUAUUGGGCGUAAAGCGAACGUAGGCGGUUUCUUAAGUUUGGUCUUAAAGACCGGGGCUCAACCCCGGGAAUGGACUGAAUACUGGGAGACUAGAGGAUGUUAGAGGAAAGUGGAAUUCCAAGUGUAGCGGUGAAAUGCGUAGAUAUUUGGAGGAACACCAGUGGCGAAAGCGGCUUUCUGGGACAUUUCUGACGCUGAGGUUCGAAAGCUCGGGGAGCAAACAGGAUUAGAUACCCUGGUAGUCCGAGCCGUAAACGAUGGACACUAGGUGUCGGGGGUAUCGACCCCCCGGUGCCGUAGCUAACGCGUUAAGUGUCCCGCCUGGGGAGUACGGUCGCAAGACUGAACUUAAAUGAAUUGACGG